CCUACGGGCGGCAGCAGUGGGGAAUAUUGGACAAUGGGCGAAAGCCUGAUCCAGCCAUGCCGCGUGUGUGAAGAAGGCCUUCGGGUUGUAAAGCACUUUCAGUGGGGAAGAAAGCCUUGGGGCUAAUACCCUCGAGGAAGGACAUCACCCACAGAAGAAGCACCGGCUAACUCCGUGCCAGCAGCCGCGGUAAUACGGAGGGUGCGAGCGUUAAUCGGAAUUACUGGGCGUAAAGCGCGCGUAGGCGGUCUGAUAAGCCAGGUGUGAAAGCCCCGGGCUCAACCUGGGAACGGCAUCCGGAACUGUCAGGCUAGAGUGCAGGAGAGGAAGGUAGAAUUCCCGGUGUAGCGGUGAAAUGCGUAGAGAUCGGGAGGAAUACCAGUGGCGAAGGCGGCCUUCUGGACUGAAACUGACGCUGAGGUGCGAAAGCGUGGGUAGCAAACAGGAUUAGAUACCCGAGUAGUC
rnacentral:rRNA from 1 species